UACGGAGGGGGCUAGCGUUGUUCGGAAUUACUGGGCGUAAAGCGCACGUAGGCGGCUUUGUAAGUUAGAGGUGAAAGCCCAGGGCUUAACCCUGGAAUUGCCUUUAAGACUGCAUCGCUAGAAUUGUGGAGAGGUAAGUGGAAUUCCGAGUGUAGAGGUGAAAUUCGUAGAUAUUCGGAAGAACACCAGUGGCGAAGGCGGCUCACUGGUCCGGUACUGACGCUGAGGUGCGAAAGCGUGGGGAGCAA
rnacentral:rRNA from 1 species